rnacentral:lncRNA from 1 species
GUCUCAGGUGUGCGAGCACCGCGGGCUGUGGACGACAGGCCCGGGCGGGCGGCGGUGCCAUUCACCCAGAAGGGCGCACAGCAGGUGGCUUGGUUCCGUCCCGGGAGGUUUCAGCCCAGGCUGCGCCGCGGCCCGGGUGGCCCCUGUCCCGCCGCGGGCGUCCCCAGGCGCUGGCCGCACCGCCUCGCCCCGCCGCCCUCCGAGCCGCGGAGACUCCAGAGCCCGGCUCUCCACCCGCCGCGGAACGCACGACCCCGUCUGGUGGGGAGCGGGUCCGAGGCGCUCGGACCCACAGGACUCGGUGACCCAAAACGCCCCGGCGAGGGCAGGGGGCGAACUCUGGUUCAUUCUUUCAACGCGACAGUCUCCGAAGGGCUGACGGCAGCAGAGACCCACUCUGCGGGGACCCCCGGGCCGGGGUUGGCGGCAGCGCUGCGCGUCGGGCGCGGACGGCCCAGGCUGGCGGGGUCUGCCACGCCCGGCUCCAGCCUCUGUCCCCAGCCUGGAGAACCGAAGCCGAGCGGCCCGUGGGCCCCGAGCCGUGCCCGCCGAGGCCAGACUCGCGCCGCACCCGGGCGGGGCCGGCGUCCUCGCGGGGACCCUGGGGGACCGGGGAGCGGGCCGCGGGGUGCAAAGGCACGGCCGCCCUGGCGACGCCCCUCCCUGCACGGUGACCCAGCCUCCCUCACAGCAGCGGCGUCCCGGCCCCCAACCUACCUGAACGUGACGCCGGGGUACGGGCGAGGAGCUCGUGCAGCGGAGCCAGGGCGGAUGGUGCCCAGGUGCGCGGAGCUCUCGGGGCUCCGGGGUGGGCGGGGCUUCUGGAGGAGGUGGGGAUUUGGGGCGGGGGUUCUGGCGGGGGCGGGUUCGGGGCCUCCCCGGACCCAGCCGCGGGUGUCCGUGGCGCCCGAGGCUGGGCGCACGUGUCCCGCGCCCGGUGCUGAGGUCCGCACGAGCCGGGUUGGCCAGAGGCUGCUUCUCCUUCCCAGGACGCCGGCGCCACACCCGCCCCCCGACGCGUGCGGCGGGACAGACACCGAGACGGGAGUGCUGGGA